CCGUUUGCAAUAGUAUUAAUAGUAUCAAGUACUUGAUGCUAUCCAAUUUUUCACUAUAAAAUCUAUCUAUGAUCAAUGUUAUCUAUUAGAUUAUGUUAUUCUACCAACAACGUACUAAACUCUAGAUGGACCACAAUUAAACCCUAGGGGGAUCACUAUUAUCUCAACUUUAUAAUUUUUUAUUCAAAAGUUAAACACCAAAGAGUAUCCACAGCUGAUUACUAUUAAAAUAUUCCAACCCAACUAUAUAUAUAUAUAUAGGCUGGGGCUACUAUACUCAUAUGAGUAUAGAGCCAUUUGUACUCAUAAGUUUUCGACCGUUCAGAUGAAAAAAUAUGCGAUUAGGAUGAAAAGGGUUACGGUUAGGUUGAUAGUGGGCCCCCUAGGGUUGAGUGGUGGUUGGUUGAAUAGUAUAAUCUAACGGGUGAAAGUGAUUAAAGGGUAUAUCUAACGGCUAAAAACUUAUGAGUACAAUAGGCUCUAUACUCAUAAAAGUAUAGUAGCCGGACUCUAUAUAUAUAUAUAUAGAGAGAGAGAGAGAGAGAGAGAGAGAGAGAGAAAUCCAACUACUAUAUUAUCAGUAGCACGAAGGCUUUCGUGCUACCAAGUUGUUUUUUAUUAUACGGCUUCUAAAUCGACGAUCGAUUCUAUUAAAUAUGAUCUACACUACUAAAUUCAUAUUAAUUUUUUUGAUAUAAUUUGACUAGUGAUCAAAAAGUCACAAAAUUGACAAUUUUAUUGGCCGAUCUGAUGCGUUUGUAAAUUUAACAAUAUAACAAUUCAAAUUUGAUGAAAUUUUUAUAGAAAAUUCUCUUCACUGUCUAGAGUAAGAUAAGUACCUAUGAUCUUAAAUUCAAUUUUUUUAUCGUCAUCUUUUAUGAGAUUUUUAUUUUCAAUCGUUUAUUUUUAGAUUACUCAUUUGAUAGGUAAAUGAUGUCGAAAAUUAUAAAAUUUGGCUUUAAAAUUCUUUCAAUAGUGUAGAUCAUGUCUAAUAGAGCCGACUAUCAAUUCGGAAGUUGCAUCAUCGAAAAUAACUUGGUAACACGCAAGUUUCCGUGCUACCGAUAGUAUAGUAACCGAAAAGUACCAAGUUACUGGUGCUUGUAGAUUUUUGGCAUUGGAUUAAGGGAUGUGCGGUUAGAAUGAUGUGGGACCUCUAGGGUUGAGUGGGUGGUUAGUUGAAUAGUAUUAUCUAACGGUGGAAAUGAUUAAAAUGGUAGAUCUAACGGUAAAAAAAUUUACAAGCACCAAGUGCUUGGUGCUUUUACAUGCACCAUAGCCGGACUAUAU
rnacentral:lncRNA from 1 species